AACACAUGAUUCUGACAAGUUUGUCUGUGCUACCUCUUUGUGAAAGAUUUGAAUUUAAAAUUCAUCGAGAGAAAACACAAAGCAUAAAAGCUAGAUAGUUGUUUAGAAUCACAAAGAUCAAAGUUUAGUAUGCUCCAUGUGUUACUCUUGAGAGCAGCCAACUCUUUGGACGACUAGUUCUCAAGUUCUUCAGCAACCAAGAGUUAUUGCAGUUCGCG
rnacentral:lncRNA from 1 species